GUUGGUGGAGGAACGGAGCAUCCUGGGAAUUGUAGUCCUCAAUCCCUAAGGCUCUGGAAACCAGGAAAGCGAAAUGGGAAUUGUUUUACGAACCCUAGAAUGAGGCCUGAGGCUUCGCGGGUAUCGCCAGUAUUGUCCGCCCCGCCGCAUAAUGGGUACCGGGAGCACAGAGAUGACUUGAACGUGGAUCCAGCUCCAAGAAGGCAGAAUAUUUUCACCAGGAGUCAUACCCUUACACGCUGAAGCACAGGCAAGAAACUGAAAUGAAUGGAGCAGGCUGGGUGAAAGGUAGUGGGGAACGCAUUUUAGCUGAAAGGUAACGUAGGGGAUUGUGGCCAGUGAAGAGCUGGGGUGAUAAAUGCUGAGGCAGACCUGGAAUUUGUUCUUUUUUUAGUCACAGAGACUUGUGUUCAAGAUGGAAGCCCAAGGAAAUAUUGGAGGUUCAUACCCAAACCCCCAAAUACAUAUAUACACUCAGCAAAAUACUAA